GAAAUGCGAUAAUUAAUGUGAAUUGCAGAAUUCAGUGAAUCAUCGAGUCUUUGAACGCACAUUGCGCCCCCUGGUAUUCCGGGGGGCAUGCCUGUCCGAGCGUCAUUGCUGCCCUCAAGCACGGCUUGUGUGUUGGGCUUCCGUCCCUGGCAACGGGGACGGGCCCAAAAGGCAGUGGCGGCACCAUGUCUGGUCCUCGAGCGUAUGGGGCUUUGUCACCCGCUCCCGUAGGUCCAGCAGGCAGCUAGCCUCGCAACCAAUCUUUUUAACCAGGUUGACCUCGGAUCAGGUAGGGAUACCCGCUGAACUUAAGC
rnacentral:misc_RNA from 1 species